GAUGAACGCUGGCGGCGUGCCUAAUACAUGCAAGUCGAGCGAACAGACGAGGAGCUUGCUCCUCUGACGUUAGCGGCGGACGGGUGAGUAACACGUGGAUAACCUACCUAUAAGACUGGGAUAACUUCGGGAAACCGGAGCUAAUACCGGAUAAUAUAUUGAACCGCAUGGUUCAAUAGUGAAAGACGGUUUUGCUGUCACUUAUAGAUGGAUCCGCGCCGCAUUAGCUAGUUGGUAAGGUAACGGCUUACCAAGGCGACGAUGCGUAGCCGACCUGAGAGGGUGAUCGGCCACACUGGAACUGAGACACGGUCCAGACUCCUACGGGAGGCAGCAGUAGGGAAUCUUCCACAAAGGGCGAAAGCCUGACGGAGCAACGCCGCGUGAGUGAUGAAGGUCUUCGGAUCGUAAAGCUCUGUUAUUAGGGAAGAACAAAUGUGUAAGUAACUAUGCACGUCUUGACGGUACCUAAUCAGAAAGCCACGGCUAACUACGUG
rnacentral:rRNA from 1 species